rnacentral:tRNA from 1 species
GCCUCGGUGGCUCAGUCGGUUAAGCGGCCGACUUCGGCUCAGGUCAUGAUCUUGCAGACCGUGAGUUCGAGCCCCAUCUGGGGCU